AGAGUUUGAUCAUGGCUCAGAGCGAACGUUAGCGGCACGCCUAACACAUGCAAGUCGCACGAGAAGGGGGCAACCCCUGAAAGUGGCGCACGGGUGCGUAACACGUAGAUAACCUGCCCUGAAGAGGGGGAUAACGUUCCGAAAGGAGCGCUAAUACCGCAUAACGCAGCGAGUGGUUUGCCACUUGCGGACAAAGGUAGGGACCGGCAACGGCCUAUCGCUUCAGGAGGGGUCUGCGGCCCAUCAGCUAGUUGGGGAGGUAAUGGCUCACCAAGGCAAAGACGGGUAGCUGGUCUGAGAGGAUGAUCAGCCACACUGGUACUGGAACACGGACCAGACUCCUACGGGAGGCAGCAGUGGGGAAUCUUGGUCAAUGGGCGCAAGCCUGAACCAGCGAUGCCGCGUGAGUGAUGAAGGCCUUCGGGUUGUAAAGCUCUGUGGGGAGGGGAGAAAAAGCGCGUUCUAACAGGACGCGUGUUGACGGUACCUCCUUAGCAAGCACCGGCUAACUCUGUGCCAGCAGCCGCGGUAAGACAGAGGGUGCAAACGUUGCUCGGAAUCACUGGGCGUAAAGGGCGUGUAGGCGGGCAGGUAAGUCGGGCGUGAAAUCCCUGAGCUCAACUCAGGAACUGCACUCGAAACUACUUGUCUUGAGUACCGGAGAGGAAAGCGGGAAUACCUGGUGUAGAGGUGAAAUUCGUAGAUAUCAGGUGGAACACCAGUGGCGAAGGCGGCUUUCUGGACGGUAACUGACGCUGAGACGCGAAAGCGUGGGGAGCAAACAGGAUUAGAUACCCUGGUAGUCCACGCUGUAAACGAUGAGUGCUAGGUGUCGUGGGUAUUGACCCCCGCGGUGCCGUAGCUAACGCAUUAAGCACUCCGCCUGGGAAGUACGGUCGCAAGACUAAAACUCAAGGAAUUGACGGGGCCCGCACAAGCGGUGGAGCAUGUGGUUUAAUUCGACGCAACGC
rnacentral:rRNA from 1 species